AACGAACGCUGGCGGCAGGCUUAACACAUGCAAGUCGAGCGCCCCGCAAGGGGAGCGGCAGACGGGUGAGUAACGCGUGGGAAUCUACCGUGCCCUAAGGAAUAGCUCCGGGAAACUGGAAUUAAUACCUUAUACGCCCUUCGGGGGAAAGAUUUAUCGGGGAUGGAUGAGCCCGCGUUGGAUUAGCUAGUUGGUGGGGU
rnacentral:rRNA from 1 species